rnacentral:rRNA from 1 species
UACGUAGGUGGCAAGCGUUGUCCGGAAUUAUUGGGCGUAAAGCGCGCGCAGGCGGUCCUUUAAGUCUGAUGUGAAAUCCCACGGCUCAACCGUGGAAGGUCAUUGGAAACUGGGGGACUUGAGUACAGAAGAGGAAAGCGGAAUUCCAAGUGUAGCGGUGAAAUGCGUAGAGAUUUGGAGGAACACCAGUGGCGAAGGCGGCUUUCUGGACCAAUACUGACGCUCAUGUGCGAAAGCGUGGGGAGCAAACAGG